AGGGAUCAAACCCACUUCCUCAUGGAUACUAGUCAAAUUCACCUCCUCUAUACCACAAUAGGAACUCCCUAGACCAUACCCUUUCAAAAGGCCAAAAUGGUAAAUUCUACAUUACGUAUAUCUUUCGCCAUAAUAAAAGAACUACUCAAAACAAAAUGUGAACUCAGCAAAAUAAAUGAAUAGAGCAGCUCAUAGACUGACCCAUCAAUGAAAUGUUAGCUCAAAUAAGCAAACUGUGACAUGAUUCCUUUUGUACAUCGUCCCAAAACAGGCAAAACCAAGUAUGCUUUCAGAAAUAGACACAUAGUGUGUAUGGUCCAAAAAAAAAAAAAACAAAAAACAAAAAAGCCAAGAAGUUGAUUACUGCAUGAGUCAGGACAGUGCUCUCUCUGGUGCAAGGAGGGGACUACGAUUCUGCAGGAGUGCAGAGGCGGCUUUUAAGGUAUGGACACUUUUGUUUCUUUUUCUAAGCUGUGGGUACAUAGGAGUUUAGAAUUAUUCUUGGAACUCUAAUAUAUUUUAUGUAAAUCUUUAUAUUUCACAAUUUUUAAAAGGCAAAAUGAACCCUAAUCCCCCCCAAAAGAAAAGUGACCCUUCAUUUUUACUUCCCAGAUGGCUUAUACUCUGGUAUAAGACGAAGAAACUUCCAAACACCCAGUUAUUACUUUUUAUUAGUCUUCUCAUUGAGGAUUUUCUACUUAAAAUAGCAUCUGUUCUGCCGUUGCUCUCAGAAAUAAGAUGGUUGCAAACAGUUUAUUCUCCCAGAUGUUUGAAGACUGGAACAGGCCUACAUGAUGAUUUUGCCUGGUGAGAGUGGAGACAUAAACACUUAAACAAUAAAAUAACUGUUUUCCUGGAACUAUGAUUGCUGUUCCCAUCAAAGUAACACAACCUAAUCAAUAACAUUUGAAUUCAUCCAGACCAACCAAUUCCCACAGAACUUUGGAAUCGCUAAAAAUCAAACACAGACACACAGAUAAGUAUAGUAUUUAAUCGAAAUAUAUUUGUCUAAUAUCUACAAAGUGUGAACAAUUGGUCUUAAGAAAGCAGACAAAGGCACAAAAUUAGUAUUACUACGGAGAAGCAUUCAUGCUACUGGAUUUUAUAAAUAUUCUCGUUAGAAUGGCACAGUAAAAAAUAAAUUAAGCAUUGAGCAAAGAUCAAAUACUUCCUUUUCUCCUAGCUUUAUAUUCUGGUCAUGUCUUGACCUCAUGUGUAAAGGCUGAAGACUGAAAUUCAACUGAAACCGUGGAACACUUAGGCAGGCUGUAUGUAUGUUUUAAUCACAGUGGUCUUCUUGCAGAGUUUGUGUCAAACAAGAGAGGUGCACUUUAAAAAAAAAAAAAAAUCCACAGGAAAUUCUUUUUCCUUUCCCCAAACUAAGUACAAGAUUGAAGCUAUGGUUGUGCGUGUUGGUGCAUGCAUGCGUGCGUGUAUUUUGUUUCUAAAGCCCUUUUUUCAUCAUAAAAGUAGUGAUGUCUCCAUAUGAUUUGUUUUCUACCAUGAAAGAAGCAGCUUUUGCAAAAUGGAUGACUUGAGUAUUGAACAUGGGAAAUUUUCAGGUCAGGCUCUGGGGCAAUGACAGGAGGAAAAUUCCAAGGCAGACCUGACUCUUCCAUAGGUGCUCCAUCCUGCAAAGCUCUGGCAUAACCUUGAACCCUGUCUACUCCCCAUCCAGCAGGAAAUGGCAGUUUGUCUUUCUGGAGUACAAACAAAUGUUGGAGUUGGCAGGGGAAUGGGAAUCAAUGAUAAUUCUGAAAUGACAGCCCCCUUCUACCAGGAAUGAGCCAUUUUCUACCAUAUGGACAUCAACUGGGCCAAUUCCCUCUUGCCUGGACAGGAGCUGAUGACAGAAGAUUUUGAGAGUGCAAAAACAUUUUUGGCCAACUGAAAAAUAGAAAACUUUGAACCUCAUUGAUAAAAAGGAGCUCAGAAUCAUUACCCCACUUCAACACUGGUAAGUGCAGUAUGUACAGGUGUGAUAAGACCCAGCAGACCCAGUGCAUGCGUGUGAAUAUACAGUGUGCUGAGAGCCUGCACACAAGCCUGCGUGCACACAUGUGCCCCUGGUGGCUCUUGAAUCAGUUCAAUCCUAUCACAGAGUUUGGGGGUACAUUUUUCUCAGGACAUAACUCCUCUCUCAGGUACCAUGUCUUGAAUGACACCAAGAGGUCUCAGAGCAUAUCGGCAGGACCUUGAUACUGUACCACUUUAAUUCCUACAAAAACAGGGCUACUUCUGAAAGCUCUGCAUCUCCACCCAUCAGUGUGCCUUCCAAAGGGGAUUGAAGUACACCCAGCUGUCACCCUGCAAGAGAGAGAAAGACACAUCACUACAUGGACACCUCGAGAGGCAAGAAGCAAGGGUACCCCCAGCUCUGCCCGCAAUGCACAGUGGUGCUUGUUACCAUCCGUUCAGCACCAUGGACCUGUGUGCCUGCCUCGCUCCCCGGGUCUCACAGCCAAGCCACAUGGUGGCCUCAACUACCCUUCCUCAGCCCAGCUGCUUCUCAGAGCCCCUGUGAUCUUCACAUCUGGCAUUUCAGAUGAUGGAGCGGGGGAGCUUUGUUGGUUUACAUCAAGGAAGAUUAGUUGGCAAAAGAAAAAAAAAAACCUUUUGAAAAAGCAGGACACGAGAAAAAAAGAGGGUAAAUGAAUGAACGGACAGGGAAGAGAAAGAUAACAGCCUGACUAUGAGGAAUCUGCCAGACCAGUGGUUUCUUUCCCGCCCACCGGCCUGGAGGGGAUUCCGACAAAGGACACAGGCAGCAGCCACAAAUACACCAGCACACACGGGAAAUGACACCUAUCAAAUACUAGCAAGGAAAAGACAAAAAUCAAAAGGUCUACAGUCUGGUGCUAGAUGAGAGGGGAUACUCCACUAAAUGGUAACAAUUCUGGUACGGGGGUGAUUUUUAUUCUUUCCACUUCCUCAAGCCUUCUGCUAUAAAGAGACUAGCUUUUAUUAUACCCUCUAAUUAAAAAAAAAAAAACUGUUACAUUGUAAGUCAAUAAAAUGAAAACAAACAACUUUGUAGGGAAAAUCAAUUUUUUUUUUUUUUUGGUGGUUGUCAUUUUGUUUUUUUAAUGUACAACUUUCUAUAGAAACCAGGCAAACGAGCUGUCUCAGAGAAACUAGACCACCCUACAGAAGAAUCCCUGAGGGAUGGUUAAACUUUUCUUUUCUUUUGGCCAUGCCCAUGGUAUGCAGAAGUUUCCGGGCUCAAGCACUGAACCUGAGCCACAGCAGUGACAAUGUUGGAUCAUUAACCUACUGAGCCACCAGGGAACUCCCUGAGAUGGUUAAUUUUAUGCAUUGCCUUAACUGGCCACGUGGUCCCCAAGGUUAAAUAUUUCUUGAGUGUGUUUGUCAGGGUUUUUGCACAUGAGGUAGCCUUUGAACUGGGGGGUUGAGUGAAGGUGACAGGCACCCCUCUCCAGGGUGAGUGGGCAUCAUCCAGUGUGUGGGGCCUGAAGAGAACAAAAGCUGGAGGAGGAAGGAAGUGGCCCUUUCUUUCCUGCCUCACUGUUGAGCUGACAUCUCAUCUCAUCUUCUGCCCUCGGGCUGGGAUUCACGCCACUGGCUCCCUUGGGUCUCAGGCCUUUGGACUUGGACUGAACCACACCACGGGCUUUCCUGCAGCUCCAGCUUGCAAACCAUGGAUCCUAUGGCUCUUCAGCCUCCACAAUAAAUCUAUAUAAUAAA